rnacentral:piRNA from 1 species
UGGAAACUCAAGAUGAGUCUGAUGCCAUA